ACAGAAACAGACAUUUGUGUUGGAGUGAACAGCACGAUGCUGCAGCUCCACCUGGACAGCAGACGGUUGAACGGAAGUUUCUGUAACUUUCCUGUUGAGGAAUUUGCUUGUGCCUCGCUGUCAGGGCUGAACGCCGUGGAUCUGGCUGUGUUGUUGACAUGUCAUCGCUCCUCCAACUCCAGCAGCUCCAGACCCGUCUGGAAGCUUCUCCUCUCCAAAGCCUCACAUGUGCUGGAUGAAGCUCUGGAUUUUCUUACCAACAAGGUGUGAAUCAGCAACG
rnacentral:lncRNA from 1 species